rnacentral:rRNA from 1 species
UACGGGGGGGGCAAGCGUUGUUCGGAAUUACUGGGCGUAAAGGGCUCGUAGGCGGCCAACUAAGUCGGAUGUGAAAUCCCCCAGGCUUAACCCUGGGAACUGCAUCCGAUACUGGAUGGCUUGAAUCCGGGAGAGGGAUGCGGAAUUCCAGGUGUAGCGGUGAAAUGCGUAGAUAUCUGGAGGAACACCGGUGGCGAAGGCGGCAUCCUGGACCGGCAUUGACGCUGAGGAGCGAAAGCCAGGGGAGCAAACGGG